UGCAUACUGUUGGAUUUUAAAGGCUUGAGUAACACAAAGUUAGAAAAUAUGUGAUCCAGCACAGUUUUUGCACUAACAAACUGCUGUUGUGGAUUAGAAUAGCCUGGAGAAGAGUUUGCUGUGAAUUGCAGGACAGAGGGAUCCUUCUCAGGCAUGAUUGAGGCGAUCUGGGGUGAACAGAGCCAAUGCAGUGGUCACUUUGAAAUCCUGAGCCCAGAUGGCACCGUGAUCCCUGUAAAUUCAGAGGGUCAGAACUGCCUCUAUCAUGCUGUUGUCCAGGCAACCUGGAAAGACCAAGGUGAUAUGAGAAAUGAGGCAGUUAUCCUCAGGAAUGAAAUCAAACAUACUCUUCAACAAAACUUACCGAGAUACGUGGAAGUUUUGAAGCUGCAGAAAGAAUUUGAAGAAACAUGUACGUCCCCUGGAAGAUAUUACAUCUGUGGAGGAGCAAAGCAAGAAGUAAAAACUAAAAUUAUCCACGCCUGGAGGGAAAAAUAUAAUGACAAA